AAAACCAUCAUAAAGGCUGCUAACCUUAAAAUAAUGAUUUAAUCAUUUGGUUUUU
rnacentral:tRNA from 1 species